UGAAUUUAACACUUACAGCUCCUCAUGCC
rnacentral:piRNA from 1 species